rnacentral:rRNA from 1 species
GGAUUGACACAUCGGUCGUGCCUUAAGGGGUAUGAACUGGUGUAGUCAAUUUCUCACCUUCUGGAGAACCGCGAUGCCCUUAAUUGGGUGUCACGGGGAACCAGGACCUUUACUUUGAAAAAAUUAGAGUGUUUAAAGCAGGCAUUUUGCUUGAAUACAUUAGCAUGGAAUAAUAAAAUAGGACGGCAUGAUUCUAUUUUGUUGGUUUCUAGGAUCACCGUAAUGAUUAAUAGGGAUAGUUG